rnacentral:lncRNA from 1 species
UAGUCCCAAAUUUUCAAAAAUUUACAAAUUAAUCACAAAUAUAUAAUUAAAAAUCAAAACUAAAAAAAAUAAAAAUCAUUCAUCUUCUUGUUCCAAGCGCACUUUUCCAUAUAAAAAUUCUUCAAUCAGUUAUCAAAAUUGACACUACGAAUGAACAAGGAUUAAUCCGAGAAUUACCUGAAGAAUUCACUCUGGAGUGCUUGACUCGGUUGCACUGCUCAGCACACCCAAUUUCAUCUCUUGUAUGCAGAUGUUGGUGUGAGCUUAUUCGGAGAAGGGGUUUCUAUUACCAUUGGAAGCAAACUGGGUUUAUUCGAAAAGUAGCAUGCCUAGUUCAAGCAAUGCCAGUUCAUGAUUCAGAGUUGAAGCUGGUAGAUCAACCCAGGUAUGAGAUUUCAGUGUUUGAUCCGAUGUCUCGGUGUUGGGACUGGGUUAAUUCGAUACCCAAGAAACCAGAUAGGUUGCCUUUGAUCUGCUAAGUUGCCAAUACUGAAGGAAAUCUUAUUGUGAUGGAAGGAUGGAAACCAUCGAAUUGGGACCCGGUCAACGACAUGUUUGUGUACGGUUUCACGACUCGGAGGUGGGUUCGUUGGGCAAAUAUGCCCUCAACUCGAUCAUUCUUUGCCAUGGGGGCUGUGGAAGGAAAAGUCUUAAUUGCUGGAGGGCAUGACGAGCAAAAACGCUUUGAACACAGCGUGGCUCUUUUGUUAAAAUUUUGGGGUGAUUCAAAUUCUUUUGUUGAAAUAAUUGUAUAAUUCUAAUUGAAGUGCACAUAAAGAUGAAUUUUAGUUGGAAUGCUUUGAGGAAUUCUAUUCAAGUUUAAUUGUCAAAUUCUAUUUAAAGUUUUAUUUUGACGCCUAUUGAGAGCUGGAAAUUGAGUUGGACUUGAAGAGUUCAAAUAAGGAAACGUUUAGGCAUUUUAUUUCAUUUAUAAUUCUACUUCUAUAGAUGGAUUUUUCCCUAUAAGCAUGAGGCUCUUAUGUCUGUUUUGUG